rnacentral:lncRNA from 1 species
CUCUGAUCCUUCUGAAGACAAAACUGUUUAAAUAGUUGUACCUUCACUUACCUGAGAUGACUGCAUUUCCCAGGUGAAUAAAGAGAGUUUGGACAAAAUGCAUUCUCACAUCCACAUCUGCUGUAUCCAGCAUCUACACAGAUAUUAUGAAACAACUUAAUCAAGCCGCUGGGACUUUGCUAGCCAUGGAUGAGAAAAGGGGACCAUUGUAAGGAUAUAAUGCCUGCUUCUGAGUCACUCCAGGGACUGUGAAGACGAAGCAUGAUUGAAGAUAAGAAAUAUCUCAGAAGCUCUUCUGGGA